GUCGAGCGGCAGCGCGGGGGCAACCCUGGCGGCGAGCGGCGAACGGGUGAGGAAUACAUCGGAACGUACCCGAGAGUGGGGGAUAACGCCGCGAAAGCGGCGCUAAUACCGCAUAUUCUCUGUGGAGGAAAGUGGGGGACCGCAAGGCCUCACGCUCACGGAGCGGCCGAUGUCGGAUUAGCUAGUUGGUGGGGUAAAGGCCUACCAAGGUCGACGAUCCGUAGCUGGUCUGAGAGGAUGAUCAGCCACACUGGGACUGAGACACGGCCCAGACUCCUACGGGAGGCAGCAGUGGGGAAUUUUGGACAAUGGGGGCAACCCUGAUCCAGCCAUACCGCGUGCGGGAAGAAGGCCUUCGGGUUGUAAACCGCUUUUAGCCGGGAAGAAAAGGCCAGCCUUAAUAGGGUUGGUUCUUGACGGUACCGGCGGAAUAAGCACCGGCUAACUACGUGCCAGCAGCCGGGGUAAUACGUAGGGUGCGAGCGUUAAUCGGAAUUACUGGGCGUA
rnacentral:rRNA from 1 species